GUUCAUUGGCCUUAUGGGAAAACCAUUCUCCGGGAUAUUGGUGUCUCCACUUCUGAGAAGAUUUCCCUCUCGGCGGCUUCUGCGGCCACACAUGUUUCCGAUGAAUCCGCACUCAAAUGAAUUUCGGCCGACAAAUAACUCGAUACAGCUCUUUGGUGGGAGAGAAUUCCACGAGAAUGAGGUCACGGUUUGGCUACAGUAAAAUGAAAAAUAACCCAGCACCCGCCGCCUCCCAGCCUGGCAUCCACCCAAGGCAGUGCAUUCGGGAACCAUUAUCGGGUUUAUCGGGGU
rnacentral:lncRNA from 1 species